UCAAUAAGCGGAGGAAAAGAAACUAACAAGGAUUCCCCUAGUAACGGCGAGUGAAGCGGGAAGAGCUCAAAUUUGAAAUCUGGCAGUCUUCGAUUGUCCGAGUUGUAAUCUAUAGAGGCGUUUUCCGUGCCGGACCGUGUCCAAGUCUCCUGGAAAGGAGUAUCAAAGAGGGUGAUAAUCCCGUACUUAACACGACCACCGGUGCUCUGUGAUACGUCUUCUACGAGUCGAGUUGUUUGGGAAUGCAGCUCAAAAUGGGUGGUGAAUUCCAUCUAAAGCUAAAUAUUGGCGAGAGACCGAUWGCGAACAAGUACCGUGAGGGAAAGAUGAAAAGCACUUUGGAAAGAGAGUUAAACAGUACGUGAAAUUGUUGAAAGGGAAACGAUUGAAGUCAGUCGUGUUCUUUGGAUUCAGCCAGUUCUGCUGGUCUACUUCCUUGGAACGGGUCAACAUCAGUUUUGUCCGGUGGAUAAAGGUAGUAGGAAUGUGACUUCUCCGGAAGUGUUAUAGCCUAUUAUCACAUACACUGGGUGAGACUGAGGACUGCAGCUCGCCUUUAUGGCCGGCCUUCGGGCACGUUCGAGCUUA
rnacentral:rRNA from 1 species